UACGAAGGGGGCUAGAGUUGCUCGGAAUCACUGGGCGUAAAGCGCACGUAGGCGGACUCUUAAGUCGGGGGUGAAAUCCUGGAGCUCAACUCCAGAACUGCCUUCGAUACUGAGAGUCUUCGAGUUCGGGAGAGGUGAGUGGAACUGCGAGUGUAGAGGUGAAAUUCGUAGAUAUUCGCAAGAACACCAGUGGCGAAGGCGGCUCACUGGCCCGAUACUGACGAUGAGGUGCGAAAUCGUGGGGAGCAAACAGG
rnacentral:rRNA from 1 species